rnacentral:rRNA from 1 species
GAGCGGCGAACGGGUGAGUAACACGUGGGUGAUCUGCCCUGCACUUCGGGAUAAGCCUGGGAAACUGGGUCUAAUACCGGAUAUGACCAAAGGCUGCAUGGCUUUUGGUGGAAAGGUUUACUGGUGCAGGAUGGGCCCGCGGCCUAUCAGCUUGUUGGUGGGGUAAUGGCCUACCAAGGCGACGACGGGUAGCCGACCUGAGAGGGUGACCGGCCACACUGGGACUGAGACACGGCCCAGACUCCUACGGGAGGCAGCAGUGGGGAAUAUUGCACAAUGGGCGAAAGCCUGAUGCAGCGACGCCGCGUGAGGGAUGACGGCCUUCGGGUUGUAAACCUCUUUCAGCAGGGACGAAGCGAGAGUGACGGUACCUGCAGAAGAAGCACCGGCCAACUACGUGCCAGCAGCCGCGGUAAUACGUAGGGUGCGAGCGUUGUCCGGAAUUACUGGGCGUAAAGAGCUCGUAGGCGGUUUGUCGCGUCGUCUGUGAAAACCAGCAGCUCAACUGCUGGCUUGCAGGCGAUACGGGCAGACUUGAGUACUGCAGGGGAGACUGGAAUUCCU